rnacentral:tRNA from 1 species
GAUGUUCGUGGGGAUGCCGCCCAUCGCGUAGUGCGCGGUGGGGAGCACGGGCACGGGCUCCGUGUACGGUUCGACGCCGAGGUACGUGC